UUUCUUCGUUCUCAGGUAUCAUCUUCCUUUCAACUUUCAAUUCCUUGCCAAAAUCAUAAGGCUGAAUCUCAUUUAAAUGUUCUAAAACCACCAAUGGAUCAGAAUUUUUUCCAAUUAAGCUCAAUCCAUGAGAGAUACAAAGCUUAGCAUGACUCAAAUGAGAAACACCAGAAGUUACAGAAUUCAAAAGCUCUAACAAACUCAAGCUAUAAUCCAAAUACUCCUCAAUUUGUGAUUUUCCCCAUUUGUUCAUCGGAUGGUCUAUUUCAACCACAAGCUUUGCAAAAGCCCUAUUAAUCAAUGGAAUCACAUCAACACAUUUCUG
rnacentral:misc_RNA from 1 species